GCGGAUGUGGCGGAAUUGGUAUACGCGCACGCUUGAGGUGCGUGUGGCUUUUGCUGUGCGAGUUCAAGUCUCGCCAUCCGCA
rnacentral:tRNA from 3 species